ensembl:lncRNA
CUCCGAGCCUCAUUUUCUCUGAUUAGAGUAAAUCAUUAUACUGAUAUUCACCACCCUGAAGGCCAAUGAAACCUGAAAGUAAAGCUAAGUGACUCUGACUCCCAAAACACUUUUGAAAGUCCCACUGUAAUUUUCUCUUACACUUGAAGAUGGGCUCAUCAGGAAUUGGGAAAGACCUUGCAUAGGUAAAACAUACAUAUUUUAAGAACUACAUGGAAAUAAAGUAAAAUAGACCACAACAGUUACAAGUUUUUGCCCAUCUGUCCAAUUUGUGUCUUUCAAGCUCUAUACAGACAAGAACUUCAUUGUUUACAUAUCGCAUUGAGUGUGUUAGUAAUGUCGUUUGGAUCAAAGAAAUUGCCUAGCCCUAUUUUUGGCUCAGCAAGUUGCUGUAAAGGUUUUUAUGAAUACACUUGGUAGACAAGGUGUUCUUGUGCUGAAAUAUUGUUCCCAUAUCUUGAAUAUUACAAGAAAAAAAAAACUAUUAGAAAUAAACAACCAACACCAGAAACAGAUAUCUUUGAAUAGCAUUCUGACUCAUGCAAGAAUUUUCCUCAGUAACCAACUCCACUGCCAUCAUUAACUCCAUCUGUAAAAUGGAGGUUUUGAAGAUAGGCUCAAGAAGAGCAUAUCAAAGGUUGAAAAAGUCACUCCACCUAUUUAAAUCCACAGUCUCAUGCAAUCCAUUUUUACAGUGCACAUGCUGAGUACUGAAUAUGAACCAACAGAUACAAAGUGAUGAGUAAGACAGGAAACGCAGAGAAACCUGAUAUUGGAAUAAAGGGAGAACCGAAGCUAUCAAUUUACUCUCCUUGUGUAGCAAGAGCGAGGACAAUGCUGAACAUUAAAUGCUUAAUACACUUCCUUAUUAAGGGUUGGACUUAGACACCAACAAAUCUCCACUGAAACCUCAGCCCUGUUUCUCGUGUUGCAAAGGAGGCAGGGAGUAUUGAAAGAUGAUUCUCAUUAGUACCAAGAGCCCCUCUCACCCUCACCUUCCUCCAAGCCCCAUCGUCCCUGCUUGUUCUCUGUGCUGGAGCCUGGGAACAGUGCCCCUUCUCAUCACACACUGCUGACAGAGCUGGCUGGGAAGAGCACGCUGCUGGACUCGCAGAUGAGUGGAGCCUCUGAAGACCUCAAUUCUCUUUCUGCUCAGUUUUCACUGCAGUUCAUCUCCCUCAUCCUUAAGUAACCCCUCUGGGAAGUCAGAACAAGCAUCCAUUGCAGCAUAGGACCUUCAUUUUAACAAGCUUCUUGAAGACUCAUCUGUUGGUCUGGCUACAUUGUCCAGUCAGAGGAUUCCUUCCAAUCAGGAACUGGUGGUGGAGAGAAAAGGAAGUCUAAAUUCAGCAGCAAGGUCUGAGAGCCAAAGGAGUGGAACUGCGUAAACAGUGGGACUGGAAUUCAGAAUACUUUCCAAACAGAUGUAACUGGCAUCUUCAUAACUGCUCAAUUAGUGGCACUUGAUUGGAUAAGCAAGUUCAUCUCCGGCCUCCUGAAUCCCUCCAUGACUUGUAAAUCAGCUCAGUGACCUGUGGACAGUCAGAAGGUAUGGAGCAAAUUCCAGCACUAAUGACAUUUAGAGUGAUAAACCACAGCUUCUAAUUAACACUGAAGAGAAAAGGAAGACAAAGUCAUCCUGGGAUUGUGUGAAUUCUGAGUACGGGUUGUUUUCUAACCAAAAUGCUGGCCUAAAAGAUUUUCUCGCUGACAACCUGUCACCACAAACCGUAUUCCAUCAUCCACAUUUGCUUCCCACUUCUCUUACCAUCCACGAUGCAGAAGAGGGAAGGCUCUCCAAGAGGCAGGACAUUCAUCUCUAUUCUUCUUUUCUUCUUCAGAAAUAAAGUCCUUCCACAGAGGAAUCUUCCUUGCAAUUUGCCAGCUCAUUUGAACUUUAGAAUCCUCUUAUUUGAAUUCAACAGGACAGUUCUUCAGUUGGACACACUUGGCUGAUCUGCAUCAUCAGUGAGAAAACCACCAUCUGCAACCACCUCUUGGCUGCUGCUCCCACUUAUGAACGUUCAGCUCUUUGAGGCUGUGAUUCUCAAUUUAUCUCAUUUUAUUUACUUACAUUUGAAGGCUUUUGUUACAAAGAACAAAACGUGUCUAACAGUUUGAUACUUCUUCCAUCCUUUCCUUGGGGCUGCAAUUAAACUUUCUUUAGGUAGUCUUUGGUGUGUGGGGUACUAUGAGCUGCUGGUUUUCGUAAGGCCCACAGCUGCUCUAUCUGCAGUACUCAGUAAUACUUCUGAACAGAUUAGAAAGACAUUGCUAACAUUGGGUAUGCUUGGGAGGAAUGAUUAUUUAGAUAGACAAAAUGAAAAUAGAGAAAGUAUUCUGCUUAGAGAAAGAUGCUGACUGCAAAGGACAACUAGCAUGUUUAUUAUGCAUCUGUCUUUUUCUUGUCCAUCACUUCCUUUUUGGGAAUACAGCACAGUAUUGGCUUCUUGUGAAUAAGCACCUGAUUCACAGCUUAGGACCUUGUAGAUUCCAUGUGAUUGUGUUAAGACAUCCUUAUAUUUCUCAUGCUCGUACUAGAUUGCCUUGUGUGUCAGAACAUUUUCAUAACCCCUCCUCACAUACUGCUGUACAUACACAGAAAUAGAAAUGUGGGUUUCCUGGUCAGAUUUCUGAAGCAGAUUCUUUAAAAAAUGGCUGACUGAUCUGAUAAGAGACAAAAGGUCAGAAAUUCCCUUGUUCCCACCUUUAUCAGCUCUUGUCCCCCUCUUUGUCAUUCAUUCCCACAUUUUGGAAGGAAAAAAUAGUCAAGUAUCUUACUGAGUGGUUUCAGAUUUAUUCCCCCUCUCUUGCCUCACAGUUUGGAUGUUUCCCUUCCUCAUCACAUCGAUCUCCAUUUCACACCAGAUGAGCUUCAUUCACCAGUCCACAGUUGCCAACCAGAUUCCUCUGGAGAAGAGUAAGCCUAAAGCCACAAUCCAGCACCAAAGUGGUUCUCAAGCCAAACCAAAAGGAGGCUGUCUUCCAGUGCACAAUACAUUAUUUUCAGAAAGUUUUACAUCUCAUGUGCAGUGGUGACAUUCAACCUAGAGGUCUAAACUCUACUUAAUUGAAAAUAAAUUCUCUGAACCACAUGGAAUGAAAUUGUGAGGAGCCUAAGCACGUAUUGGUCUGAUCUAUAAUAUCUUUUUCUGUAACACUGAAUAGUGUAAGGUAUAUAUUACACACAAUGUCUGCCCAGUCUGCAACCCUCUCAGAUCACUAAGAAUCUCUGUCCUUGACAAGGCUACUUUCACAAAGUAUACAGAGAUCUUGAGACAUCUACCUCUAUAGGUUCAAAAUUUCUGGAUGGACAAAAAGACCAAUACUUUCAUAUGCAUUUGCACUUCCUCAGAGAACUAGUUAAAACUCCUGGCACUCACGCUGAGACAUAAAUCCAUGUCCGAACAAUGAUAUCAAUAAACAGCCCUCUGUAAUUAUGCCAAAAUGUUUUUGCAUUAAGAUGUUGUCAGCUCAUAUGUUUCAACUAAAUGCAUACUAUAAGACUAAACUGAAACUCUGAAUUUGGAAUUUCUUAAACUUUCAGGGGCAGAAAGGAGUCAUUUGAAUCUUGCGUGUUCAUUCCAUGAAGGGCUUAAUCAAAAUCAAUUCCCACCUCACCAACUUUAGAAAGGGAUUUAAAUCCAGUACCAGAUUUGGAUCUGAAUGUUGUGCCUGGGGGCUCAUUUCUGUUAUCAAUUAGUAGUUGCUCUUGUGAUGUAUCAAAAGGCAGUAGCGUAUAGGCUGUUGUUUAGAGAUGUACAUAAUGUAGCUUUAAAUUUCAUUGGGAAACUAAACAAAACCUCUGGCCUUAGGGCUGCAUGUUCAAAUACUACAGUCCCAUAGUGCAUUACACCAGUCAACACUUCUUUUCAAAUACCACCCGCAUAACAAUUAACCUCACUUCAACCUUGAGGUCUCUGAUUAGUGAUGGCCUAUUGUUUAAGUUACAUUAACAUAGCCCCUGUGUUGCCCUAUUCUCACUCAAAUGGACUAAUCAAAUCAGUCACCAAGGACUUAAGCUAAGUCCAACUUCUUUAGUAAGCAGCGAUUUUCUAUUUAAGUAGAAUGGUGGAUGUCAUCAACAUGGUCACAAUUAGUAUAGCUCUGGCAUGGAAAACACUUGUAAUGAUCUCCAAUUUGUGAAAUAUCAAGGGCCCCACCAACUUGCAAUAUGACAAUUUCUACGUAUGCUAGAAAAAUUACAAUAUCAAUAGAGUAGUCACUAAUGCAUUACCUUGUACAAGACUAGGUCUCUGAAAGGACAGAACCUCAAUUGGAUUCCAUUUAAUUUCAGGAAGCAAAUGCUGUUUUGAACCAAUAGAAAUAAAAACAUGUUACAGCAUUUUUUUUAAUGUUAUUUUUCACUACCCACACCACAUUUAUUAUGUAAAAGGAAAGCAUUGUUUAUUUUUCCAAAUCUAGUUACAGAUUUGUUAUUCUUGACAUUCUUAUUUGGAUUGCACAACUCUGUUUUCAUUCACAUUAACUAAUUCUUGCUGUUUCAGUCAUUUGUAAUUAAAAAUUGUCUAGUGUUCUUUCUUUAAAUUAUUUUUAGAACUGCCUUCUAUUUCUGACAAGGUAAUGGAUGACUCGAGCACAAAAUUCUAAGGAGAAACUGGAAAAGUCACGGAAAACACAAGUGAAACUUCACCAGUAGAAAUUCAGGGCCAAAUUUUCAAAAGGACAAUUAUGCACAUAAGGAGUUACUGCUCGCUUAUCAGCAGAGAUACCCACUGUGCACAGGCAAGCAGUUCUGUUAUUUUCAUGCACACCUCAUUGCUGCACAAGCAGCAUGCGCAUUUUCCAGCCAUUCAGAUCUUGUUUUCCUAUGAAAACACAGCAAAAAGUCAACGUGGGAACAACCAACCAUUGUUGCAGGGUGUAGAGGAUGCUGAGGAUUUUCAAAAUGGAGCCUGUCUUAGAGAUAAGAAUUUGCUCUGAUUGUAACAGUUAAUUCCUACCAAAUGAAAAAUAACCUUUUCUUUCCUUUUUUUUUUUCCCCUUGUUGCCUUGUUUUCUUGCCAAACUGUAUCCGCUUUCACAGUCAAAUACUUUUUCAGAGACUGCAGCAAAAUCAUGCUCUCUCUUCUCUGAAUACGAUGAAGUUUCUAGAUAAUGUUCACACGUAGCUUUUCUUUUAUGAUCAGCUAGAACACUGUGCACAGAAUAAACAUUGCCAGAUGCAUUAAACGUUUUAUUUCUGUGCUUCAGAGAAUGAAAUUUGGCAGAAAUAUUCCCUAAUUUAAAUCCAGCUUUUGUCUGCCUCAUUGCUUUACACACCAUGUAGUGAAAGAACUGGCUUCACACUGCUCCCACAACACCAGUCCAUCUGACUGACAAUAGAUCCAAUCUGCAUUACAUGGGAGGCCAUGUGAGCAGUCCAUUCUGCUCCUCCAUCUCCACCAACAGCUGGAACUGGACUUGGACUAAAUGCCAAGAGAAUUUGCAUGACAGCACGUUUGGAGCAAGCAUGCUAUAAAUUCACCACUGCUGCAAAAUGGCAAACCAUAGGCCUCAUCUACACAGAAGUUACAUGAAUUUAAAUUAAAACCAAUUUAGUCUAAACCAGAAUGAACUUCUGUGUGAACACUCAAUAAUUUAAAAUCAUCUCAUUUCAGUUUAUCUGGCACUGGUAGUGUCUCCCAGAAGACAGUUAAUAAAUGCAAGAGAAACACAGAUAUUAAAGAGCAGUAGUCAUCUUUAAUUAAACUCACUCUGAGGCCCACCUGUAGUCCCUUCACUGACAGGGGCUAUGUUGAGGCUAUUCAUACUUGUCAUUCUGGGCCAGACUCUCUUGCAGUCCUCUUUCCUUGUUUACCUUACUAGCACUCAAUCAUUUCACCCCGGAGGACUCCAGAAGUGGCAUCAGCACAUCACCCAGCCUUUGGUCGGGUUGGAUCCUUCCAGCCUGCCAGCAAACACACUGGGGCAGUAGAUCCUGGAGUGGCAAAAGCUGCACAUUCUCCAGCCAUUGUUUUGGCGACGUUACCCCUGGGCAUGGACCCCCGCCUGCACUGCCUCCUGUUGCUCUUUUGUUCAAGAGGAAACUUGUCAUUUAGAGGCUGAUUAUUAGUUUUCUUUUCUCUCCCCUCCCAAGUCCCCCUCUAACUGGAUCAUCACCAGUUUUAGAAGAGUUGCCCCUUUCUAAAGAAAAGAAAACAGAAUAAACAACCCCUUCCCAGUCCCUGUCAGAGCUCUCUUCUUUUCACCAACAUCCAUUUUCUCCCAACCAAAAUGAAAGGACAGAGAGAGAAAGACAGCUUCUUCCCUCUCCCUACAAUGAAACAACAAAGAGCACAAACAAAAUUAAAAUUAGGCAUUUAAGCUGAUUUUCACCACUUAACUUUUGACAUGUUUUUUGCAAAUUUCCUUCAAGUCCCCGCUGAAGAUUCAGCCAAUGAAACCCACUGCAUCAAGUGGUGUUACUAAGCCUUUUUGCACUUCUGUGAAACGACAUACAUGUUGUUUGGGGGCAGCAAAGGCACCUUUCUGCUAAUCAUAAAACUGUGAGAUAAUGACAGAACAAAGUAACUGUCCUUUUCGGGAGAAAUCAAGAGUGAAAUGCAUAAUUUUUCAAGUUUAACUCUGGAAGUACUUUAGGUCUGAGGCAUCCAAAUACAGUCUAGAAAAGGCUUUCCAGGUGGGUGAUUUUUUUUUUUUUAGAAGUUAAAGCCAUUGCCCUAAAGUUCUGUUCUAUCUUAUGCCCAACGUCGCAUCAGUUCAGUUCCAUUGUCUUGCUUUCAGAAGUAAUUGUUUUUCUCUUCAGAAAUAUAUUUUUCUUCCAGUAAGUCUGCAUCAUAUUCAUCAUCUGGAAUUUAUUGGGAGCACUGCACUGGGCUGAGUUUGCAGCUGCUCCUAAUCAUAACUGAUGUGCUUAGAGCAGACCUGCAAAAUGCUUGGCAGGCAAGGGUGGGACUGCCUGUCCGGCACAGCUCCUCCUUCACCAUGCUCCAGAGAUUUUGCUGAUCUCCAUUUUCAGGUGUAAUUCAAAAAGGCAUUUUUGAUCCACAAAGCCAUUCAUGGUUUAAGAGCUUGUAUUUCUUCAAGACUGUUUCUCUGUUUCAACAUCAUGUUUCACCUGGCAGCCAAGAUUGGCUGCAGUUGCCUGAGAUGAAUAGCAAUGUUGAGUCCAUAAAAUACAGGAGAGUUUGUGGAAUGACAGACUGUUCUCCUUGGGUAUACAGCAUAGGAGCAAUGGAAAGAUAGAGAGUAUCUCAUUUCAUAGAGAAGAAAAGAGAGAAGGACAUUUUUUUUCAUUAAAAAAAUCAAUUUCUUUGUAAUUAAGAUCUGAAAAAUGGAAUACAUCCCCUGCAUUCUCGUAAAAUUACUAAGAAAUGAGUGUAUGAUUUACACCCAUGUUUGUAUUGUGGUUCACAUCCACAGUAGUAUCUUUUCCUUAGAAGCUAUUAAGAAUUUUAAUUGUACUAUUCAGAUUUUGAGUUAAUUCAGGAAAUCUGGAGGGAAAGAAAAAAAAUCUCCUAUACAAAUACAGGAUGUUACCAGAACAGGAGAUAGUAUAAACAGAAGCUCGAUUUUGGGAAGCAGAAAAGUAGAAUCUUGUGUAAUAUCUUAAAUACAACCCAAAGCACGCAGUAGUGCUAGGCAGGCAGUUGCAGAUAUCCUCACUGAGGCAUGAUCCCUAGGUCUAGAAGAAACCUUCUGCUCUGAUCUAUGUAUUCCAUGAGAUGAGAUUAUGCCUGCACAGCUUUGCAAAUGUCCAGCUUCUCCUGGGAUUAAUCUCUGGUUUACCAGCCUACCUGACAGAGGCAAGAUACAGAAGUUGUUACAGUACACACACAGGAUUCCUCCCAGCUAACCUCCAGUGUCUGCUGCCUCCAACCAAAAUAGCCUUCCAAGGACUAUCCAGGCUUCUCCACCUGCCCUCAUUUCCUCUCCUCCUUCCCAGCUUCCCACAUACUCAUUCCAAGGUUUUCUAUCUUUCUUUACUGAUGCAACAGCCAGCCAAAAUAUUUUUAUUGACUUACCCAUAUUAACUGCUUUGAGCUUAGUUUAACUGGUUGUGUUACAGUAUGCCAGUGGUUUGAUUGCAGUUUCCCUAAGGAUGGAAGAUCUUCAUCACUCCAUCCUCUUCUCAUAACAGGAAAUGUUUAACACUUAUGUCUGUGAAGACGACUGACUAGAUGACUUCAAAGCAUUUCAGAAACAUAAGCCACAUGGAGAAUUAGAAGUUCUCUCUUAUUUAUUUUUCCCAGAAUCCCUUUAAAAUCAAAUGUUACCUUGUUGCCCCUGCAUUCAGCAUGUCACGUUACUUCUUGUAUGUUUGUGACUAGCAAAGCUGCCCACCGCCUUGUGUUGGCUUGAGUUCAACAUCCCAUGUUUUGCGAUACAUGUUCAUGGCUAUAGUUUCAGUUACAUGAAGCUAGCUCAGUAAAGAUAACUGAAUUGAAGAAAACACCAUUUUCCCUCUCUUAGAGAAGACUUGAGUGGAAAGGGAUUGUGAACACUUAGCACUACAUACAGCAAGGGAGUAGGAAACCGUCUGCUCCACUGCUGCCGGCUUCCCUGAGCCUAGGGACCUGAAAGAUGCCCCAGGCUCCCCAGCAGCAGUUGCUAAGGAAACAUUUUAGGGAACCUUUUUCAUAAAUUCAUAGUAAUCUCCAUUUCUCAAAUGUCAAGGCUAAUGACUCACCCUUUGAUUGCAAAUGGGAUUUACUACCACAGAAUUGCUGGCAGCCUUCAAAGCUAAAUUGUAUUUGUCAGCAUUUGAAGACUUUUAGUACGUUGGUUACCACUGCUCCCCUUGAGUGAGCGGAAAAUGUAGAUACAUGAAUAUCUGGCAGAAUUCCCUCAGAAAUAUUUGAACUCUUCUUCCUAUGUUUUCACUUAGGAAAGAAGAGGGGAUCUGGUGUCUCAGGGGCUGGCUGCAGUGCAAACCCCCACAGUGUAGCCACCACCAUUGGGGGUCUCAGGAAGGCAGUGCCACCUGUCCUGGGGAGCAGGGACAAACAGAGGAGACACAACCUGCCAUCUCCUGUGGAGGUCAGUUCAGCUGGAAGGCAGCUGAACAAGUCCAUGGAUUCCCUGCAAGUUACACAUGAAUCAGUGUACUAGCAUCCAGGACUUUCCUCUGAUUAACUGCUCCACAACCUAACAAAGCUGGUCUACCACUCACAUGUUUGGGAAUAACAGCAACAACCAGAACAAAUGAUGCUCCAUUACUUCACAAUCUUCUUUCUGCCAAGUGCCAAGCUUGCAAAUACACCCUGAGAUUUUCUUCUUUAAAGUGUGUGAUGAGACCAGACGUUAAGGAUGAUAUCAAUUGCUUUGAUAGCAAUACAUAUUUAGAAGAUUCCAUCCAGAGUAAUACAGACCUCAUUGCCGGUGGAUCUAUUGCCAAGUUAAAAGCUUAAAGGCUUAAAUACAAUUCAAAGAGUGGUACUUUAGAUACCUGGAUCUUUAAAAGCACAUAAAGAAUCCUCAGAAUUGUGGGUCUAACCGCACAGUUUUUGUAUGAGAUAUUAUGUAAACAAUUUGUAUUUAUAGAAAUGUAUAUUAUAAACCAAUUUGGGUAUUGUUUUAUUGUAUUUAGUUUUCCAAUUAGUAUAAAAUUUACAAAUAUUAUGCAAUUUUAACUGAUUAAAUUAUGUGUCCCUGUGGCUCAUGGAAAACCUUUCUCCCUUGACAUGCUGAUGAUGGGUAUGUGGAAAAUACCACUGCUGAGACCAGAAAAGUUGAUCUAUGUAGCAUCACAUACACCAUGUGUUCUGUUACACAAUAGCAGUAUGGGCCCACUCAAGGAUCUGUGUUUAAAACAAGAGGAAACAACUACAGAGGAGCAUUUACACAUAACUGAGAUGCUUCCAGGUCACUCUGAACACUAUUUUCAUAAACAGGCAGGUGGAGAAAAAACACUCUCAUCCAACUUCUGCUUUCCUUCUCCAUGGAAAACUUAUCCUUCAGCUAUAUUUUUUACCAGUCUGCCUGGAGACAAUUUUAUUUUCCUGUUGUGUCUGGCUACCGGAUUUCAGAGUUCAGCUUUUCCAUUUUUCUGAAAGCACAUGCAGCCAAACUGCCAGAAAAUACACAUCCUUCCCCUAGAUCCUGGUGCUGGGAGGAGGCUCCACUGUUGAAUCCAUUUUGCUUCAAACAUGGAGAGGAGUCACUGCUUCCAAGAUAAUGACACUGAUAUUUCUAAGGCCGUUCUUCCUGUCCCAUUUAUUGGCUUCUACCUUUAUAAUAUCUCAUAGGAUUUUACUUUUACUAAGACUGUAAAAUGAAGUACUGUAAGUUCGGAAACCUCUUUUAGUGAGCUCCCCUCUUUCUUAGAUUCCAGCUGACAGUAUCUAACAUGAUAGCCAAAAAAAUACACUUAGCUCAGAAAACGUCUCCAAAACUUGACUGAAAACAUGUGGCCUCAAAAUGCAGGAGAAACAAAAAAAUGAACAAACAUCUGCAUUAUUAUACUAUUUACCAAAUGCUGAAAGCAAAGUCCAGUUUAUACAAUAUUUUCUAGAACCAAAUAAUUUUCCUUUUCUUAGGCAAUUUAGCAAAAAAAAUUUUGAUUCACAAUGCAUCUUCUUAUUCACCUAAUGAUUGACAUCAUUUCUGACCAAAAAGAUGCUGUAUAUGGCUUGAAGGUUCUGGUUUCUCCUAGUUUUAGACUGACCACUACCUGUAGCUCUUUCACCCAGCUGCCUUAUUUCAUCCAAAGUAACCUGCCACGUGCAUCAGGCUAUCUGUGAAACACAGGCUGAUCCUCACUGGCAUCAGCUCCGGUAUUUGUAAAUACUGAGAUGUGCUGUGCUCCCUCAGAAGCAGCACAGUUUCAUGGGGCGGUGGCUCCUGUGAUUGUGCUGUUAACCUUUUAAGAGACUCAGGCUGUUGGUUCUCUUCAAAAAUAGAGAUACUGUUUCUGGGAGGUUAUGACCAAUUUUAUUCCCAAGUCUGAAAUGCAGAGGGCUCUGGUGCUUUCUGUAAUUCAAAUAAAGUUUUAUUGUUUCCUGAAGUGUAGCAACUAUUAGAAAAUCAUCUAGGUAGAUUAACACUUUACUGUCUUUCUUGCUAGGCACUAACAACUUGCUUUACAAGCACAGUAGAUGUGUUCCUAAUGCUCCUUGUUCCGUUCAAGUAGGGAAUUUCCUCUAAUUUUGGCAAAUGAUAUGCUGAGAGAAGUGUUACUUUACUUGCUGCGCAGCCAUAAAUCUGCUGUGUAAAUCUUACACUUUUUAGGAAGCUUAUUGCUAAAAGUUUUGCUUCAGAAGCACAUUUAAGGGGUUUAGAUUUAAUAAGGUUAAAAACCAUCUAAGCAUUUUGAGUCUGCAAAGAAAUAAUAUCUCUGUAGCGUCCCCUGCGAUAGAUUAGAGACAGGGUUUGGUUGCAGUAAUGAAUAUAAAUGGGAUUCUUUAUUAAAGCCACUGGACACAGGCAGGGCUGCAGCGCUGCUCUCCAGCUCCCAGGCUAACUGCACACAACCUAUGCUUUCUAAUAGCACACACAGGUCUGCCCGAAGUCCUGGCCUAGAUCUCGCACUCUUGGAAGGGAUUGCCAACCUCCACAAUAACUGGCUGCCUAAAUCCCUCAGCAGUGAGAACAACUUUCAGAGCAGCGACUGCCAAUGCUUUCACAGCCCCUAAAUUUGCACACAUGUGAAUUAAACAAUGAAAAGACUGUCGAUUCUGCAACCUGGAAUAGACAGAUCCUCUGCACAAAAAUCUACUUUCCUUGCACAUUUGCAGAUAGAAAGAUCUGGGAUGUAAAAGCAGAUUUUUUUUUUUAUGCCUUUCUACUAAGAAUAUAUGUAAACAUACAGUGGAGAGAGGCAGCUACCACCUCAUAUCCUGUAGCCAGCCUUAUGGGCUCACACCAGCUGCUUUGUUCCCCAUAGAGGGUGAAUAGAAGAGCUGGUGACUGUUGAUACUCACAUUGUAGUGAGGCGAGAGCAAGCUCAAGACAUCGGUGCAGGUAGCAGUGCUUAGGCCUGGACAGAGCAGACUCCUUACAUUCAUCCAAGGGUGCUCACACACAGCCUGCAGUCCUGCCACCCCUGAGGCACUAAGCUUGGAGGUUUGAAUCCCCUUCAAAACACAUUCAUUUUGCUGUUCUUAGGCUUUGCCAUUAAGGAUACUUUUAGCUGAGGAACAGCGUACACAGGAUCUUUUCCUCAUUUUCCAACAAGUAAGAACAACCUUUCCACUGCUCCUGAUUCACAAGGUACAAGCCACCUGGUCCCAGCCCAAGCAAUAACAGCCAGAAGCUGAGAUUCCUCAGAAAACAUUGCUGGAGUCAAACAUGUUCCACUCAGCUUUGAAAACUCCUCUGAGAAGAGCUGGGGCAGAUCUUUUAGCCUGCAGCACAGUUUCUCUCAACAGGACCAUGCCAUUCCUGGUGCACAUGGACACACCAACACACCCAGCCACCUCCCUGCAACCAACCUCAGACCCCACUCAGCACCACCGUUAACCCAGUGAGCAGAAGGAAGCUGUGUAAGUGUGGGCUCUCAGGAUAUCCAGAGGUGAAAGGGUGACACCACUUUCUGAUUUGAAGAGCUAACUUGAGGAAAGCCUAUGAUCACAGCCGUGAGCCACAUGUACUGAGCGAGCAUUGCACAUGUUAGUAUAUUAAACAUAUGUGGUUCUCAUUUCCUAUGAGAAAGGAAUACAGUUUGAGAGCAUCAGAGUGCACGGUUAUUUCAAGUGCAUGGUGAGUGUGGAUUAAGGGCACUAAAAGAUUCCCAUAGUCCGGUGACUAUGAAUACCUGCAACACCAAGCUUUGAUUUUAAUGUUUCCUGUCAUCUUUUAAGUGUCUGCCUUGCCACACUCAUGCGGGACCAGGGUUCAUUUGAAAGGCUCUUGGAAAUGGCCAGGGCAACAGGAACAAUAACAGCAUCCUUUUAGGAAAAUACAGGAAAUCUUUUCAGCCAGAUGUACUGCAGCACUGGGGCCACCAUGGAAGUCUCACAGUUAAAGAAUCCUCACAACAGCUUCUAGGCAAAAGCCAAAGGGAUCAUCACAUCUUCCAACACUUCGUCUUGCAUUAGAAAUAAUUCUUGCUCAAGGAAGAAAAAAGAGCCAAUAAAAUGUUCAAACUUCAUUCCCGUAUUGGCUUUUUGUUGCCUGAUGUUAUUAAUAAGAAUUUACAACCUUAUUUACAGUGUAAGCUUUUCGCAUGGACUACGUUUGUAUGUGAAUUUUUAAAGUUCUGAACUUAACAAAAUGUUUUAAGAAUCAGUGGAGCUCUGUCUGGGGACAAUUAAAAAAAACACAUUAAAAUGGACCUCCUUAUUUUUGUGUGAGAGGAAGUAGGGCAUCCUGUGCACCUUAUGAGUGGGGCCCUGGAUAUGAAGAUAAGGGGUUCACAUGUUGCAAACAUUGCUUGCGACAAGGUGCAGGGCAAAGGGUGAGGGCGCAGCCAUUUUGAAGCAGACUUCCUGGAUGGGCUUUUAGAUGCCAGUUGGAUGGGUGAUGGUGCUGGAGGGAUGCUCUGAGGUUUCAUUAUCACAAAGUGGUGCCAUAAUCACUGUUACUUAUCUAACAGAGACUGAAGAGGCAGAAAACAUUCAGAAGGCUUCCUUUACCGGUACAGUCUUGAAUAUUGGUAAGGUUAUCCUGCCAAACAAGCAGCCAAAAUCUGAGUCUCCUAAAUUAAAGAAUACGCAUUAAAAUGUUGACCAGAGGCUUCUGAUUUGUAUAUUCCCAUCUCCCCCCUUCCUUUCUCUUUCCUCUCCAGUAUCAGUGCUGUACUGAGUUGGAAAUGUAUAAAUGUUACAUGUAAGAUGCAGCCUUACUGUUGCAUCUUUAUUCAACAUCAACUUCCAGAUGGGAACUAUUUUUCAUGGUUCAUAAAGCCAAAUCCAGCUGCUACAUUUGGACCUACAUAAGGAAUCCACAUUUUAUUGCCUUAGCAGUGCAUAUAAAACAAUUGCUGUUGUUUCUUUAGUACUGGUGCACCUCACAUUUCUCAAUACGUUUUAGCUAUUUAAAUUUUAAAAACUGUAUUUUAUAGUUGCUCCUUCAGCUGUGCACUGUGACAAGAUCCCUCUUUUACAACAUUUUCCAGAUAUCUAACAUAACUGAAAGAAAAAUGAUCUCGGACAAACAGCAUUCAGUAUAGCAGCCAUCUAUUCGGUUACUUACUGAGUGUUCAGACAAUUUCCUAUGUAAACCACAAUGAUAUUAAAUACUUCUGGAAUCUUUAUUAACAGACAGGAAGUGCAAACUCAGGAGCCUUUCCCCUCCCCCUGCGUUAAUCUGACUCUUUGAUAGUCAUGUGUUAGGAAUAACCAUGGAGUUUCUCCGAAUGCAAAAUAUUCCCACAGCUAAGAGAAAUUAACCCUUGUGAAGCCUCAAAAGAGAGAGUGGAGUCCAUGUGUUCACAGAGAGAAAAAAGAAAUCAUUUGGAGGAAGUUUGUACCAGCAGCAAAUCUACACAAUGCUGCCAGCUAUUAUAUUCAGGCAUAAUUCAUUUGCAUUUUAGAUAGGAUUGUCAAAGCAACUACGGCGCAUCCAUUGCAGAGGAGAAUUACCCAGCCUCGCAGAAUUAGCCAUCUUUGUGCCUUUAUACCUCGCCACGAUGGGAAGCGCUCUGCAUUCACUCAGCCGUGUGUGCCAGGGCUUUUCUCAACUCCCAACUAGCAGAUAACAGUCCCUUUGCUAGAAAGCAAACAACCCC